GAUGAACGCUAGCGGCAGGCUUAAUACAUGCAAGCCGUGGGGCAGCACGAAUGUAGCAAUACAUUUGAUGGCGACCGGCAAACGGGUGCGGAACACGUACACAACCUUCCUAUAAGUGGGGAAUAGCCCAGAGAAAUUUGGAUUAAUACCCCGUAACAUAAUGAUGUGGCAUCACAUUAUUAUUAUAGCUUCGGCGCUUAUUGAUGGGUGUGCGGCUGAUUAGAUAGUUGGCGGGGUAACGGCCCACCAAGUCUACGAUCAGUAGCUGAUGUGAGAGCAUGAUCAGCCACACGGGCACUGAGACACGGGCCCGACUCCUACGGGAGGCAGCAGUAAGGAAUAUUGGUCAAUGGACGCAAGUCUGAACCAGCCAUGCCGCGUGAAGGAUUAAGGUCCUCUGGAUUGUAAACUUCUUUUAUCUGGGACGAAAAAAGGCGAUUCUUCGUCACUUGACGGUACCAGAUGAAUAAGCACCGGCUAACUCCGUGCAGCAGCCGCAGUAAUAC
rnacentral:rRNA from 1 species